UACGGAGGGAGCUAGCGUUGUUCGGAAUUACUGGGCGUAAAGCGCACGUAGGCGGCUUUGUAAGUUAGAGGUGAAAGCCCGGGGCUCAACUCCGGAACUGCCUUUAAGACUGCAUCGCUUGAAUCCAGGAGAGGUGAGUGGAAUUCCGAGUGUAGAGGUGAAAUUCGUAGAUAUUCGGAAGAACACCGGUGGCGAAGGCGACCACCUGGACAGACACUGACGCUGAGGCGCGAAAGCGUGGGGAGCAAACAGG
rnacentral:rRNA from 1 species